AGCGGCGUGGCGCAGCGGAAGCGCGUGAGGCUCAUAACCUCGAGGUCCCUUGAUCGAAACAAGGCGCCGCUA
rnacentral:tRNA from 1 species